AUACAUGCUGGGCUGCACUGAUAAGAAAUCUUGGAAAAGUUACAAACUUGGUAAAAGGUAUAAAAGACAGAGAAACUUGGCACUCACUUGGAGAACUACCCACCUGUAAUGCGGACGCGUGUUGCUGGUCUCUGCUGUUCCCAUAGAGGGUCCCUCCAAGCCUGACUGCCGGUUCCACCAGUCACGUGCAGAGGACACAAGCCCCUCUAAUGGUGAUGUAUACUUAAGCUGAUAUAUCUAGAUACUAAGCUGUUUUGAAGUGAAUGCAUGCAACUACUUAAGGAGAGUUAAGCUUACUCUGUAUUGGGUCCCCUUGUG